rnacentral:rRNA from 1 species
UCGGGAAUUUUGGGCAAUGGGCGAAAGCCUGACCCAGCAACGCCGCGUGAGGGAUGAAGUAUUUCGGUAUGUAAACCUCGAAAGAAUGGGAAGAAUAAAUGACGGUACCAUUUAUAAGCUCCGGCUAACUACGUGCCAGCAGCCGCGGUAAUACGUAGGGAGCAAGCGUUGUUCGGAUUUACUGGGCGUAAAGGGCGCGUAGGCGGCGCGGUAAGUCACUUGUGAAAUCUCUGAGCUUAACUCAGAACGGCCAAGUGAUACUGCUGGGCUAGAGUGCGGAAGAGGCAACCGGAAUUCUUGGUGUAGCGGUGAAAUGCGUAGAUAUCAAGGGGAACACCUGAGGCGAAGGCGGGUUGCUGGGCCGACACUGACGCUGAUGCGCGAAAGCCAGGGGAGCAAACG